AUUGAACGCUGGCGGCGUGCCUAAUACAUGCAAGUAGAACGAGUUGCGAACGGGUGAGUAACGCGUGGUAACCUGCCUCAUAGCGGGGGAUAAAUAUUGGAAACGAUAUCUAAUACCGCAUACUGUGAGAUGAAACUGCGUUGUAUUAGCUAGUUGGUGAGGUAAAGGCUCACCAAGGCGACGAGCCCUAGCGGGUCUGUGAGGAUGACCAGCCAAACUGGAACUGAGACACGGUCCAGACUCCUACGGGAGGCAGCAGUGGGGAAUAUUGCACAAUGGGCGCAAGCCUGAUGCAGCCAUGCCGCGUGUAUGAAGAAGGCCUUCGGGUUGUAAAGUACUUUCAGCGAGGAGGCGUUACUCGCAGAAGAAGCACCGGCUAACUCCGUGCCAGCAGCCGCGGUAAUAC
rnacentral:rRNA from 1 species